rnacentral:rRNA from 1 species
AACGAACGCUGGCGGCAGGCUUAACACAUGCAAGUCGAACGGGUGUAGCAAUACAUCAGUGGCAGACGGGUGAGUAACACGUGGGAACCUUCCUAGGGGUACGGAACAACUCAGGGAAACUUGAGCUAAUACCGUAUACGUCCGUGAGGAGAAAGAUUUAUCGCCCUUAGACGGGCCCGCGUCGGAUUAGCCAGUUGGUGGGGUAACGGCCUACCAAGGCGACGAUCCGUAGCUGAUCUUAGAGGAUGAUCAGCCACACUGGGACUGAGACACGGCCCAGACUCCUACGGGAGGCAGCAGUGGGGAAUCUUGGACAAUGGGCGCAAGCCUGAUCCAGCCAUGGCGCGUGAGUGAAGAAGGUCUUCGGAUUGUAAAGCUCUUUUGCCAGGGACGAUAAUGACGGUACCUGGAGAAUAAGCCCCGGCAAACUUCGUGCCAGCAGCCGCCGCCG